AUUGAACGCUGGCGGCAGGCCUAACACAUGCAAGUCGAACGAGUGGCGGACGGGUGAGUAAUAUAUGGGAAACUGCCCGAUGGAGGGGGAUAACUACUGGAAAGGGUAGCUAAUACCGCAUACUAUCGGAGAGGCCCAGAUGGGAUUAGCUAGUAGGUGGGGUAAAGGAUCACCUAGGCGACGAUCCCUCGCUGGUCUGAGAGGACGACCAGCCACACGGGAACUGUGACACGGUCCAGACUCCUACGGGGGGCAGCCGUGGGGAAUAUUGCACAAUGGGCGCAAGCCUGAUGCAGCCAUGCCGCGUGUAUGAAGAAGGCCUUCGGGUUGUAAAGUACUUUCAGCGAGGAGGCGUUACUCGCAGAAGAAGCACCGGCUAACUCCGUGCCAGGAGCCGCGGUAAUAC
rnacentral:rRNA from 1 species